GAUUUCUGUCGAGUAUCUUGGCCACGUGAUUUCAGUUAAACGAGUGGAGAUGGAUCCUGCCAAAUUUUUCACUGCCUUUCAUUAUUGAAUGUGAUGCCUCAGGUAGUGGAGUGGGUGUAGUUCUCAUGCAGCUGAAUCAGCCUAUUGCUUUCUUCAGUAAAGCCAUUUCUGAUAAAUCCACUAUCUGUACAGCAUAUGAAAGGGAAUUAAUAGCCUUGGUGCCAGCAAUUCAACAUUGGCGGCCCU
rnacentral:misc_RNA from 1 species